rnacentral:rRNA from 1 species
GACGAACCGCCCGAACGUUGUUCGGAAUCACUGGGCUUAAAGGGAGCGUAGGCGGGCUGCCAAGUCCGGGGUGAAAUCCUCCAGCUUAACUGGAGAACUGCCUCGGAUACUGGAAGUCUCGAGGAGGGUAGGGGCAAGUGGAACCGUGGGUGGAGCGGUGAAAUGCGUUGAUAUCGGAAGGAACACCGGUGGCGAAAGCGGCAUCCUGGACCGAUACUGACGCUGAGGAGCGAAAGCCAGGGGAGCAAACGGG